GCGCCUUAUCUUCUCAUUCUUCUUCUCUCCACCGCACCCCAAAACUAAAACUCGAAACUCAAAAAAAAAAAAAAACAAACAAAAGAAAGAAAUCUUUUAAACCAUUAUUCUUAAUCCCAACCCCUUUCUCCAUCGUUUUCGUCUCUCCACAAAAUCACUAAGUUCUCCAAUAAACCCUAUUCUAAAUCUGUUACCACAAACUUGAGCAAAGAGGAAGAAAUCCAUUCUUCUCGGACCAUUUUCUUCUUUUCAUCUUUGCGGUUAAGGGUCUGUUGUUGAGGUUUUUCUCCUUUUAUGCAGCAAAGAGGGUUCACUGUUAUAGUAUUUCUUCGUCUCUACAACAAAAAGGGGUAGCUGUGAAGGUCUUUCUCCAUCUCGUACAAAAAGGAUACAACCAAUCCAAUUUGUUCUUUCAUCAUGACUAUAUGUUAAUUUGAUAAAAAUUCAGUUGAAAAAACAGUUGUUCCUACAAAUAUAAAGUGCAAAUUUGAUUCUCACCAAAUGCUUAUCUUGGUAACUGACUUCUGUAGGCAACAAGAUAAUAAACUGGAGGAGUUAAGUGAAAAUGUGCAAAGAACUUGAGGUGUGGGUCUCCCUUUACACAAAGAUAUUACUUAGCAGGAUUAGGACAUGUACAAUCAUGUGAAUGAUGCUUCUUGACUGAAGGCUCCUCUUGUUUCCAAUGAUGUUUAUGAGAUAAUUAUGAAGGUUUGUCUAUUCUGAUGUUCACAAUAACUUGGUUUUUUAGCCACUUUGACAGCACUGGGCGUGUGUUCCACAGGGGAGUGCAGUGCGAUGUUGGGGUAGUUUUAGUCGGAAGCUGUUAUUUUUCUCAAGGUCCAGCUCCACCCAGCCCCUAUCUACCACAUAUCAUGCAAGACCGCGGGAAUAAAGAAGAACUCCCGUAUCUUAAGAGCCAUUUCAUUCAAGAUGUAAACAUUCCAGAUGGAACCCUGGUUUCCCCAUUAACUUCAUUCACUUAAAUGUGGCGGUUGGUCAAUAAUGAGACGAUUCCAUGGCCAUGUGGAUCACAACUGGUAUGGAAAUACGGAUACCAGUUUACUACUACAGGUUUAGUUUCUGCGCAGUAGAAGGUGAUAAUAAAGAAGAAGCUGAACGAGUUCCAAGAGAUAUGAAGACGUCCAAGUCUCAACAACCAAGAAACCAACGCACUUUGCAGAUUAGGUACACCGUUAUGAAGUAGGAAUAAGUUCUUCAUCAUCAUCGGAGUUUUUACUUUUGCUGUUUAAUCAAUAGUUUUUUAGUUCAUCGUUUUGUAAUCGAAUUCUAGAACUACAGAUUACACUGGCCAGAACUACAAAUUUUAAUCCUUUGUGUAAUUUGAAACCAAUAAAUCGAUGAAUGUUAAAUUGAAUGAUUA